CCCUUAGAUGUUCUGGGCCGCACGCGCGCUACAAUGAUGAAUUCAACGAGUUUAUAACCUUGGUUGAAAAGCCUGGGUAAUCUUUUGAACUUUCGUCGUGAUGGGGCUAGACCCUUGCAAUUAUUGGUCUCCAACGAGGAAUUCCUAGUAAACGCAAGUCAUCAGCUUGCAUUGAUUACGUCCCUGCCCUUCGUACACACCGCCCGUCGCACCUACCGAUUGAAUGGUCCGGUGAAAUCUUCGGAUUGAGACUUUGAUUUGUUUACUCAAAACGCUGUUUCAAGAAGUUGAUUAAACCUUACCAUUUAGAGGAAGGUGAAGUCGUAACA
rnacentral:rRNA from 1 species